rnacentral:rRNA from 1 species
GUCUCUGGCCAUACCACCCUGAACACACCCAGUUUCACCUGAUCUUGGAAGCUAAGCAGGGUAGGGUUUGGUUAGUGCUUGGAUGGGAGUUUUGAUGCCUGACUUU